rnacentral:ncRNA from 17 species
UAAUAUUUACCGUUAACACUUCGUAUAAUCUCAAUGAUAUGGUUUGAGAGUUUCUACCAAGAGCCCUAAACUCUUGAUUAUGAAGACUUUACUUUAUGUA